rnacentral:rRNA from 1 species
AUUGAACGCUGGCGGCAUGCCUUACACAUGCAAGUCGAACGGCAGCGGGGGAGCUUGCUCCUGCCGGCGAGUGGCGAACGGGUGAGUAAUGCAUCGGAACGUGUCCUGUUGUGGGGGAUAACUGAUCGAAAGAUCAGCUAAUACCGCAUGAGACCUGAGGGUGAAAGCGGGGGAUCGCAAGACCUCGCGCGACAGGAGCGGCCGAUGUCUGAUUAGCUAGUUGGUGAGAUAAAAGCUUACCAAGGCGACGAUCAGUAGCUGGUCUGAGAGGAUGAUCAGCCACAUUGGGACUGAGACACGGCCCAGACUCCUACGGGAGGCAGCAGUGGGGAAUUUUGGACAAUGGGGGAAACUCUGAUCCAGCCAUGCCGCGUGCGGGAUGAAGGCCUUCGGGUUGUAAACCGCUUUUGUCAGAGACGAAAAGGGACGUACGAAUAAUACGU